AGAACGAACGCUGGCGGCAGGCCUAACACAUGCAAGUCGAACGAGCUGAGACCUUCGGGUCUCUAUGCUAGUGGCGCACGGGUGAGUAACGCGUGGGAAUAUGCCCUUUAGUACGGAAUAACCCAGGGAAACUUGGGCUAAUACCGUAUACGCCCUUCGGGGGAAAGAUUUAUCGCUAAAGGAUUAGCCCGCGUCUGAUUAGGUAGUUGGUGAGGUAACGGCUCACCAAGCCGACGAUCAGUAGCUGGUCUGAGAGGAUGAUCAGCCACACUGGGACUGAGACACGGCCCAGACUCCUACGGGAGGCAGCAGUGGGGAAUAUUGGACAAUGGGCGAAAGCCUGAUCCAGCCAUGCCGCGUGAGUGAAGAAGGCCUUCGGGUUGUAAAGCUCUUUCGACGGGACGAUGAUGACGGUACCCGUAUAAGAAGCCCCGGCAAACUUCGUGCCAGCAGCCGC
rnacentral:rRNA from 1 species